AGUAGCGAAUGCAAUGCGCGAGGACAUCGGUCAGGAUCUGGCCUGUCGAUAGUUGGAGCUUUGCCUCGGAUUCUGCCGCCUCCGGCUCGGGGCCCGAGCACGUCAUAAAACACAGAUUCAACCUACUGGAAUUAUGGCCCGGCGAUUUGCAUGGAAAUGGGAUGUCUCGUUUCACGAACAUCUUCAACUCGAACCUCUUCCACGGCACCUGGAAAAAGAUUACGAUAUUAAUAUAAAAAUUAGAUUGUUAAACAGAUCGAUCGCUUGAAAGGAAAGUGAAUAUUAUAAGGAAAUAACGCUGUAUAG
rnacentral:misc_RNA from 1 species